rnacentral:rRNA from 1 species
GACGAACCACACAAACGUUAUUCGGAAUUACUGGGCUUAAAGGGUGCGUAGGCUGCGCAGAAAGUUGGGUGUGAAAUACCUCGGCUCAACCGAGGAACUGCGCCCAAAACUACUGUGCUCGAGGAAGAUAGAGGUAAGCGGAACUUACGGUGGAGCGGUGAAAUGCGUUGAUAUCGUAAGGAACACCUGUGGCGAAAGCGGCUUACUGGGUCUUUUCUGACGCUGAUGCACGAAAGCUAGGGGAGCAAACGGG